UACGUAGGGGGCUAGCGUUGUCCGGAAUCAUUGGGCGUAAAGCACGCGUAGGCGGCCCUGUAAGUCCGCUGUGAAAGUCGAAAGGCUCAACCCUUUGAAAGCCGGUGGAUACUGCAGGGCUAGAGUCCGGAAGAGGCGAGUGGAAUUCCUGGUGUAGCGGUGGAAUGCGCAGAUAUCAGGAGGAACACCAUAGCGAAGGCAGCUCGCUGGGACGGUACUGACGCUAAGGCGCGAAAGCGUGGGGAGCGAACAGG
rnacentral:rRNA from 1 species